rnacentral:rRNA from 1 species
GACGAACGCUGGCGGCGUGCCUAAUACAUGCCAGUUGAGCGCUGAAGGUUGGUACUUGUACCAACUGGAUUAGCAGCGAACGGGUGAGUAACGCGUGGGGAAUCUGCCUUUGAGCGGGGGACAACAUUUGGAAACGAAUGCUAAUACCGCAUAAAAACUUUAAACACAAGUUUUAAGUUUGAAAGAUGCAAUUGCAUCACUCAAAGAUGAUCCCGCGUUGUAUUAGCUAGGUGGUGAGGUAAAGGCUCACCAAGGCGAUGAUACAUAGCCGACCUGAGAGGGUGAACGGCCACAUCGGGAACGGGACACGGCCCAAGAUCCUACGGGAGGCAGCAGUAGGGAAUCUUUGGCAAUGGAGGAAAGUCUGAACGAGCAACGCCGCGGGAGUGAAGAAGGUUUUCGGAUCGUAAAACUCUGUUGGUAGAGAAGAAAGUUGGUGGGAGUGGAAAGCUCAUCAAGUGACGGUAACUAACCAGAAAGGGACGGCUAACUACGUG